GACGAACCGUGCGAACGUUGUUCGGAAUCACUGGGCUUAAAGGGCGCGUAGGCGGACCACCAAGUCAGGGGUGAAAUCCCCCGGCCCAACCGGGGAAGUGCUUUUGAUACUGGUGGUCUCGAGUGGGGUAGGGGCGUGCGGAACUUCCGGUGGAGCGGUGAAAUGCGUAGAGAUCGGAAGGAACGCCGGUGGCGAAAGCGGCACGCUGGACCCUUUCUGACGCUGAGGCGCGAAAGCCAGGGGAGCAAACGGG
rnacentral:rRNA from 1 species